CACACCCCUAUUUCAUCUCCCAACUGCUUCCCGACGGCGGCGGCGCUCCAGCUCCGGCGUCACAGCGGCGUGAUCUCGGCGGUGAGCCGGUGACCAUGGGUGGCGACUGCGACAACCCGUCGACCCCGUCGUUGGACUGAGGGUUUCAGAAUAAUUGAUCCAUCCAUGACGUACACAACAUGGCGAGAUGAGAGAGCCGUUUGUUCAGCACGGCAGAAGCUCGACCAAGGCGCAAUCCUGGUCUGCUCUCGACUCGGCUGGCUAGGUUCCCCUGCCGCUCAUCGGCAUCGGUGGCACGGUGUUUGUGUUCGGCGUCCGCGUCAAGGAUCACAAGCUCUACGAGCUCUGCUUCGACACGACCACCAACAUGACCUGUUCUUGUACCAAAAAUGACCCAUCUUAUGUAUCAAUUGAUAUUUAUGUAUGUCUGUUGUGUUAUGUUCCGGUAGGGUGUUCCAGAUGUUUAGUUCCUUUUUUUUUUUGAAAUCUCCAGAUGUUUAGUUCUGAUCGAAGGGGCUGGCUUAAUUUUGUCAUGUACUAAAAUAUUUGUGA